CUCCUCCCCUUUUGAGUUCUCCCUCUUCCCCGACGGGUUUCUUCCCAGUUCUCUAUCUUCCGUAAAUCUCUUCAUCUCACCCACCCCCACGUUUCGUCAGUUUACCUUCUCCUUACAUCAAGAUUUUUCCCUCUCAACAAAUCGGGCUACUCUCAAACUCUCCUCCUCUACGAUUUUCUUCACCAUUUCUUUUGGGCUGCAGAAUUCAUGACCUCUCCAAUAAUUUUUCGUUAUCAUCGAUUUGUUCCACACGUCUACUCGUGGGUCUCGAGAUUCUAGUGUUGUCGUCGAGCCUUGCAACGAAACUACUAGAUUGAGUAUUUUUCUCCAUAUAGCAGUGCCCCUUGUGUUUGUCAGUUGUUUGUCAGGUGUUGUCAUAGAGUCCAACGCCGGUGGUGUUAUUACUAGAAUUCGGACUCCAGGCAUAGAGAAUACACGGAAGUCAGGUAAGCGGGGUUCAUAUACUAGUUUUGCAUAAAGGAAAUGAAAUGAGGUU